rnacentral:ncRNA from 16 species
GGGUUGUAGCUCAGCUGGCAGAGCGUUAGACUGAAGAUCUAAAGGUCACUGGUUCAAAACCAGUCGGUCC